CGGUUUGCUGAAAAUUGUCUCAUCAAUUGAAACCGAUACAUAUCAUAAAAGUUUGGAAUUCAAUGUAGUUUUUAUCUAACCGGAAAGGGUAAUUACCACACAUAUCAUUAGAAGUAUAAGAUAGAAUGAGCAAGUGGUGGAAAGUUUUUAGAUUGUUGUAAAUGUUAGUCAAAAACAUUACUGAGCUCAAUACAAGUGGAAUGGUACGCUUGCAAUAAAAAUUGCAUCGUAAAAAAGUUUAGAGAAUUUGGUGUUUGAAAGUUGUGUGAUCAAUCGAUGGUGUUAAACUAGUAGAUUUCCGUGGGGUGCCUGCCGUGAUUUGGAGACAAACGGUGAUUUGGCUACAAAACUUCCCGGAUCUGGAGUUUUGAUUUAGCGACAGCAUUACAAUAUUCCAGAGUGUAUAUGUGUUUGUGUUGGAGUAUGAAUAAUUUAGUAAAAGUAUAGAAGUGAUCGACGUCAAUUGGGGAGGAGAAAUAAACUUGAACGUAUGAAGAAGAUCUUGAAUGUUUAUAUAAGUGAAGGAUAUUUAGGUGGUACUGAGUAGCGUGAGUAUAAGGUGAAUGAACCAGCAUCCUUCUGAUAAACCUAUAGUCGGUGUUUUGAUUAACCUGGAACAACAACUUACGCGUUAUACCGGAUCGGCACAUGGUGUUCGAUUCAAUAGUGCGUCCAUAAAUUCCGUCACCAUUUCGUCGACAGUGGUGAAACGAAGGCCAGCGCCGCAAAUCACGGUAGCGAGCGCCCCACAAGUCCUAUCGCCGAAGCGACUGUGCACGACUCCGCUGGCCGGUGGAGCGACGAUUCCGGCCUUAGGUACUUGCCUGGUUUCUGCCCAUCCACCGGCUGCUGCCGCCGCCGCAGCUGCCGCAGCCCUGUUGCAACACCAUCAAGCCCAGGCGGCCCAGUUUCAGCAACAACAGCAGCAGCAUCAACAGGCUCGACUACAAAAUCAGCUGCUAGAGUCGGCAGGCGUAACCGUUCCAACAUCCGUGCAUCAGCAGCAGCUAGUGUCAGUUCCGCUAGCUAUUAGCACCAAUAGUCCGCAACCAAUGUUUACAUCUCCGAUCGUUGCACAGUCAAACCCGGCUGUCAGUACACAGUCCAUCAACGGAUCACUGAACGUGAACGCGGCCAACAAUAACCACAAUCUCGGACAGACACCGAACAGCCUCAGCAGCGCGACAAAAAUGGAAAACUCGAUGGGACAGAUGACACCGAUGGCCCCGCUAGCCCUCUCACAGAGCAUGGAUUCGGUCAACACCGCCAGCAAUGAAGAAGAGGUGCGCACUUUGUUCGUCAGUGGAUUGCCGAUGGACGCGAAGCCCAGGGAAUUGUACCUACUGUUCAGAGCCUACGAGGGCUACGAAGGUUCACUGUUGAAGGUUACCAGCAAAAAUGGCAAGACAGCAUCGCCGGUGGGCUUUGUCACGUUCAGCACACGUUCCGGGGCAGAGGCAGCCAAACAGGAUCUACAGCAAGGUGUACGCUUCGAUCCUGAUAUGCCCCAAACAAUACGCUUGGAAUUCGCCAAGAGUAACACUAAAGUGAGCAAACCAAAACCACAACCUAAUACAGCGGCCACAGCUGCACAUCCUGCAUUGAUGCACCCACUUACUGCUGGACACUUAGGUACUCCGUUUUUUCCUGGGAGCCACGAGCUAUGGCAUCAUCCGUUAGCGUUCUCGGCAGCCGCUGCUGAGCUGCCUAGUGCUGCCGCCCUGCAGCAUGCGACACUCGUCCAUCCGGCACUGCAUCCUCAGGUCCCGGUACGGUCCUACCUCUGACUAAAUACGGACAAAGUUCUCGAGCAGCAGCCAAUGCACCAACAACAAAUUCAAAUGCCACAUCCGACAGCAAUACACCCAGCAUCGAUGCAUGUCUCGGCCGGAUUACCAGCGAACCAUUUUUUACCGAGCCCGGCAUUGGCGAGCCCGGUCGGCAGCACCGGCGGUAGUCAGCCGCCUAAUCCGCCGCUCACCGCCAAUGCUCCCUGUUCGACGCUGUUCGUUGCUAACCUGGGCCAGUUUGUGUCCGAACAUGAGCUCAAAGAAAUAUUUGCGAGUUUCCCUUUUAAAAGGCAUGACAGCAUCUUCCACUGGUCUGCGCUUAGGGAUGAAUGACCUUAUGGGUUAUUAUCCCUCAAAAAAACAAACCAGAAGCAGAACCAUCCACUGGUCUGCGAUCUACAGCAACGAUGUCGAUGUCAUCCACAAUACUAAGGUGCAUGGGAGCGGGUAUGGAGCCAAGAAUGGAACAUCAUUUGGGGAAGAAGAGUGAACGAAUCGAUCUCAACACUUACUUGAUGGCUACAACUUGACCCCAUCAGCAGCAGCAGCAACAGCAACAAUAUCAGCAACAUAAUCAUCAUCAGACAACAACAGUUAUCAACAACUCCUACAUCAACGCAGCUAACGGAAACGGACUGGGGUUUGAUAUCAGUAACGGCAUAUCGGCUGGACGUUUCAACAAUGUAAACAACAACAACAGCAGCAACAACGGACUCUACGCGAUUGCUGUUCCACAGCCCCGAGCGUGAACUUCGACAGCGUCCUUCCGGUGGAAAAGAAAACAAAACUGUGUAUAACUCGAAACUGUGAGAAUAAUCACAGACCGUUUGUUUAACCAAUUUAUCCUAGAGGAAAUCAUUUAGUUGAAGUGUGUAAAUGUGAUAAAUGAAGACCAUGUUUGGCCCCCCAAUUGAACCAUAAUGUGCCCUAGAACGAUUUUUAUACGAAAGCUACGUUGAACUGUUUUAAUUUCCUUCUCGGUUACACCUGUUAUCAGCCUAUUGCUUUUCCGUUGAACCGUACUUACUACAAAUAUACAAUUCGAGUAAUGGAACUAUGGUGAAGCUCCCUUUGGAAACGAUUGCACCCAAACGUGCAGACACACAAAAAUAAAAUAUGUGAUUAGGGUUUCAAAACGUUGCAGUUAUUUUUUAACGAGACAAUGGAAAAGUCAACAAACAAACGGUAGUUCGUAGGAAGACGGCUAAUAAGCAAUAACAAAACUAAUUGUAAAUGAAAAUAUCCAUGCAUAUCAAAGAUUUUUUAAAAUCGACAAAGAUGGGAACGAUAGUUUGUAAAACUAAACACAUAGUUUCGUAAGGACGCAUACUGUAGUGGAAACAAACUGCUAGGCAAUAUUCGGGGCAUGCUAAAACCCAAGAUCCGUUUCCGGCAGAGCAGAUUGGGUAGGAGAUUUCUUUUGUUGACAUUUAUAAAAUUAAAUCAAGCGGCAUUAUCAUCAAUCGAUUAUCUAACGUUGGAAUAGUCGUACUAAACAAGUAGCAUAGGCAAGCGCCAGAUGCUUUGCUUGGAAUAGCAGUUAUUGAACAUGUGUUUCAGACAAUGGCAUUGCUCUUCAUCAAAAGUAAUUUUUAUCCAAAAAGAAAAUUUAUUCAAAACUAAAUUUAACGUUAUCAUCAACAUAAGCUAAAGUUAGUGAAGUAAGAAUACCAUCACAAGCCCUUGGCACAAACUUGCCCGGUAGAAGUGGGCGAUUUGGUGCAAACUGGAAUCUGUCAAAAAAGCAAGACCAGAAGUCAACAGAAUACGCAAAGUUACCGUCAAUUAUAUAAAAUAGGACACCAAAGAGACGCAUCAGUUCCUAUCCAGCAUCAAUCGUGCAGAGGGAACGGGGCAGUCAAUCAUGUUGAAAUUACGGAAUCAAGCAACAUAGAAGCUAUAAGUACCAAAGUAAGCUUGCGUUCUAAUGGAAACCCAUCAACGACAUCCUGUUUUGCAUCAAAAGUCCGCUUCCGGUGUAGAAGCUUGCUGUCAGGGGCAUUACGGAAACAUUAUUUGUAUAGGAUUAUCCCUUGUAUGUAAAGAAUGAAGUACCGGGUGAGCGGUCUUAACAUAGCAAUAAGUAGUGAAACUUUUUUCGGUGUUUGAUUCUGUGAGUGAAUUUGCUUCUGUGAGAACAUCUCUCGUAAAGAACAUCUCAAAAAAUCUACAGUUGAGGCAAGGUGGAGAAUUCAGAUUAGUGCACGUAGAUAACAACUCUUUUGCUAAAACCAUGUGGUGAAAACAUGACAAAUUCAAAAGUUGAAGUUUGGGUGUUUGAAGACGUGCAUUAGUCUGUUUUCCAGGCAGCAGUGCUGCCAGACAAUUGGGAUGGAAAAGAGCUGAGAUAGCAGAACAAGGAAAGGAAAAUUUCAACGAAUGUUUCAAAAUCAGAACAACUGCUAGAAUGCGAAACAGUGGAAGAGAAAAUGAAGGCGCAAGAAGAGAAAAAUCAUUCCGUCCAAUACAGUGUGUAGUUAAAUCGGAUGAGUAUGGAUCUGUUUUCAAGACGACAAUCUGUAUCUUGAUCCGGCCCCCAGAGGUUAGUGCGAUCGAGAAUCUUGGAACGGUUUCCGAUGCGGUGCGGUGGCUUCGAUCGUUGAUUGGGACAUCCAUCCAGACGAGCCGCACCAAUGUUCCUGGAGCCUACUUCUGCGAGGGAGCAAAAUGAAUACAUAUCAGCUUUGGGUUAAACAUUACAUUGUAAGGAAAGUGACAUAGCUUAGGAAACAAACGUUAGCUUGUAAGUAAACUUUAUCGUCUAACUGCUCUAGGGACAUCCAGCAGCAACUUUUAUCAUCUCUGGCAAACAUACACAAAACAUAAAAAUAAUUGAAAAAAAAAUUACAAAAAGUGAUGCUUAUGUUGACAAUGAUUUGUCUCUCAAAUUUUAAAUUGAAUACUAGGGCUAUACACUUGAACAUAGUGAAUAAGAUGGGGAUGUAGCUUGAAUGAAUGUAAUUGUAAUAAAAAUAUGUGAUAAAAGAUUUAGCAAAACGAUGUUGGGCUGCGUUUCGCCGCCAAGUGAAAUCAGGACGGAACAAUUAAAUGUUCGAGUCUUGCGGCUUCAGCGGCACGGUUUGUAGUUUGUCAACAAAAAAACUAUUCAUGAUAUAUCUAAUUGCAAAGUCCGAUUUUAUCAACACACGCAAACAAAUAGAUAUAUUGUUUCACUUGUUUAUAUGUACACGGCGCAAUGAGUGUAGUUGUAACUUUGAGUAACCAAAAGAUAUCGUUUCAUACGACCUAGGAGUGUUGACAUAAAUAUCAUAUUUAGUGGUUUAGUUUUAAGUGUCCCCAUACAGGAGAAUUUUGUCUAGCGAUCUUUUUCGAGGAUGUAGUAUAAAUAUCAGAUUAUUAAUCAAACUUCAAAUGCCUUCUAGCUUUAUUUUUUAUCUACUUGUUGACUAUAUGCCGUCUUUUUAAGGCUAAGUUGUAUCUGUCCGGUUCUUGGGUUUGAUCUUAUCAGUUCAGCAACUAUCAUGAAAACGAAUCGAAAUGAUCCACAAGAUGCAUGCAAACUAGACUAAAUGAACAAAAUAAACAAAUUAUUCUAUGGGAAAAAAGUGUUACGAUAAAUCAACAAUUCAAACAUAUCAAUUUCGUGCCCGAUCAUAUUGAAGAGAAAUUUAUUGAUGAAAAGUAAGCAUAUAUUAAACCGUAGCUGACGAAGAAAUAUAAUAUAUUAACUAUACAUUUACGACUACAUUGAACAAAAUGGAAGUAUCACCUAAACAAUUAAAGAAAAAAAAAGUACGCUGAAAAUGUCUACAAUGUGAAACAAACAACUAAUAUUGAUGUAUCUGUUCAAACAAUAUGAUAGGAUCUACCAAUUAACAAAACGAUUCAGAACGAAAACACGUACUACCUUUCGGCUGUCAUUGUUUCCCCUAUGCUAGAAUCGCAAUAUGGAGCAGGUUUUUACUUUACAUGGACCCGACGUUACUGUCCCUUACUGUCUUUUUAGUUCUCUUGAACAGUCUCAGUUUUAUUAAACAAACAUUUUACGAGUGUUGACGCUAUUCAAAUCAUGUUCUGCAUCUCUGUUUUUGCCCAGAACGAUGAAACAAAUUGAUGAAAGAAUAUAUUUAAAAAAUGGAAAAGAAAUAAUGUAAAUAGAUUCAUUUUAAGAGAUUGGAAUUAUGGAAUACUUUUUUUUGAAAAAUGUUUCUAGAGUUUAUUGAGCAGAGUUUUUUUGUCCUGGAAUUUCGACUUUGUACUAACAGACGAAAACCAGAAUUUCCGUCAUUCGUAUUUUUCUUGUCUUUAGUAAAAAAUUUAUCCAAUGUUCAAUGAUUCAACACAGUUGUGACUGUUUUCUGUGAAAAAACAGAGCUGUAUGGAGCCUGAUGAAUCCUUUGGAUUCCAAUGGAUCCUCAGAAGCCAUUUCAGCAGUGCAACUUUUCUUUGUUUUUCAAGACCCGAAAUCAUACGAUGAAUUUGAUUUUUCACAAACAAUAUUUGUACAUGCCAAAUUUUUGAUUCAAAAAUCCACCAAAUUUUACUUAUAAUAAAAUGGGAUUGUUUUUAAACACAUAUUUUGCGUUCAUGUUCGUGAAAAUGUUUGGCUAGAGUCUAAUUGUCGAUCACUCUACUGCCGCAACUGCGCCUCCGGAGAGUUUUAGGCGCGCUAAUGAAAGCAUUUUCCAACAUUUUCGGAUAAAGUACCCAGCGGAGUACUAACAACAUUCAGGGCAGACCCUAUGCCUUAAGAAGAAUUCAGGAUUUAGCGUGAAUUUGUAUAAACAAUAUAAAAAAACAAUAGUUGCGUAAAAAGACCUUCUGAUCUUUUUUUUUGUUUGAUAUUAAAAUGUUCUAUUUUGCUUUUGCUUUACUAAAAUAAAUUGAUCGGAUUCUUAUAUCAGAAAUCCUAUAAGUACUAAAAAAAAUUGAAGAAGACAAGAUAUUGUUUCUAUGAAUCUCCUCUAAAUCUCAUGAGCUCAGAAAAUGGAGAUUUAUUUUAAAUAAACAGAAAUUUUACGGCUAUUUUGUAAAAAAUACUCUAUUCUUUGACAGUCGAACAUGGUUGUGUAGUUUGUCAAAUCUCGUCAAAAAAACAAACAAUGUCAGAUAAAUGUGAAAAUUUCAAACUUCGAGCUUCAUUAGAUAUUUAAAUUCGUGAUUUUGACAAUCAAAUUUUUCCUUCUUUUCCUUACAAAUACGGUGCUCCAUCAUUUAUGAAAUAAAAUGAGAAGUAUGAGAAAUAAAGAUAAUGAGGGAAUAUGACACUCCUAGUUUCGAUUCUAGUAUGAUAUUCUAGUUGUUAUUUUUUUAUCGUUUCUGAAACCGAAUUUGAAGAAGAUAAAAAUUAACCAAAGAUAAGUGUGUUUUUUAUUAUUUAAAUUAUUUAUUUAUUCCAAAGCCGAUGCUUAUUUAUUUUAUUCCUGCUAAUUUGCUGUCUUUUAUAGUAACAAACGAUGAGUUUAUAUAUUUUUUAUUUUCUAGUAGUACUACCAAAAUAUAUUAGGAAUAAUAAGCAUUACAGUGAAAAUAUUUAGCUAUAGCGUAUGUAGUACAAUGGUAAAAUCUAGACAAAACAUAGAAUGAUGUUGAUUAAUUAACUGAAACUGAUAUCAAGCUAUUUGGACAACUUAUGAGUAACAGAAAAAAUGACCAGCGAAUAAAGGGAAAUAACGCUGUGUUGACAUCAGUUUGUCAAUAAUUGGGAAAAUAUUAUCAACUUGCCACCUAUUUUCGAAAUCCCACUCCUUACUGACUUCCGCUCAGUACGAGAGAUAAAUAAUAAUAAAUAGCCUGCAAGCUAACCGAACAGCAAAUACAAGCAAUUAAUCUACGCUAUCUCACUUGUUUUGUUUGAACACGUAACAGAUUCGAUAUAACUUACAAGAAAACAUUAAGAAAAUCGUGCAACAUCGCAAACAAAAACAUUGAACAAAUUACCUAAUGAGAAACUGUUAUCGUUAAUUAAAGAGCAAAGAUGAACGAGAGAACACAAAAGAAGACAAUUCUACCAAAAACGCCUUCAGCGACAUCUACAAACUCGUAGCUGAGACUUUUACCUAGUCAAAAUAUUAUUUUUAUAAACUUGAAACAAAAAAACAAUAAAACCCCAAAAUAUUACAACGGCCGCAACGGCGAACGGGCUCCGAUCUGAAGCAAUUUUGAGCACAAUUUUCAUCGCUUCUCAGCUUUCAGUUUUCGACUGGUUUCUCCCAAACACUAGCGAAACUAAAUUUCGAAUUUCCCUAUCACGCAACGCAUUCGAUCCCAUGAGAACGGUCACGCUCUUCACCCUGGCAACACUUCUCUCCUCUUUUCCCACACUCACACUUAGGACGCAUGCAAGCACAGCCGAUUCGAACGCCAGAGUACCGCUCCAUCGGGUGUCGCACCAAUACACGUUCACAGACACGCAGCAAGCGCCGGGUAACGCAACUACUGCGCGAGUAAAUAACAAAGCAAGCUACUGAAUUGAUCGUUUUUGUUUUCUUGUGAUUAUCGAAUAUGCACACAAACACACAUACACGUCAUAGUGAGGACACACCGACACACACAAACACUCAUUCACGGGCACAUGGUUGAACCGUAAAAAUAAGCACAGAGUUUAGUAAAGAGGUGAUGGGAUCGUAUCAGUUGACAGCAACUGCACAUCCGCACUCCAAUCAACAAAAAAAAAUUUCGUCAUUUUAAUGGUGCACAAUGUUUCUGUUUUCAGUUUUUCCUCUGACUUUCACUCACUUGUCACUGGUUUACACUUUGUUGUUUUCCGUUUUGAUUAUUCACUUUUCAGUUGAAUUAGAUGCUUUCUUGUUGAACAUUGAAAUGAUUUCGAUAAUAAUUUUAACUGUACGAUAUAUAAACAAGAGGAAAUUUUUGACAAAUAUUUUUAUCUAUUCUUAAAAAGUGAUAAAAUAUAUUGAAAAAAAAGAAGGAAAGGAAAUAAUAUUGAAACUUUUUAUGGGAAUCUUAUAUAUAAUUGUAAUAGAACCUAGAGCAAAACAAAAAUGGUUAAGCAUCAGACGAAGAAGCAAGUAAUAAAUUAAAUUAAUGUAUAACUAAUAAGCGGACAAACAGCAGAGAACGCGCGCUGAAGAGAAUCUCAAGCAAAAGCUAAACGCAGAAAGCGAAAGAGAAUCUUUCAAGACGAAUGUGAUUAACGUUUUUCCUUUUAAGCUAGAAUUCGUUCCAAAGAUUUUUCCCUUUACUUUUAGAAUUUUAAUCUACACGUGUUUUUCCUUUGAUUUUUGACAUAAGUUUUAUGACGUUCCUAUGUGUACUGUUCAGUAACCGCCGACGAUUGAGUAGAAUGGUUUCAAAACGAGACAUUUCUUUUGAUCUCUCCCCGACGAAUACUUAUUUGUAUACCGACUGACACGAAAGUCUUUGCCCUCUCUGAGAGGUUUCUUAUAGCGCACCAUUAUCUACGCUGCUUUCCAGAGCGCAAUCCUCACUCGUCGCUGUCGAUCUCUGGUAACACUGGAACGUCACAUCACUUGAUUAUUGUGCACUGUUAUUGUUUUAAUAGAAAAAAUCCUCUAAUCGAAACUACUGUUCUGAAUUGUUAACCAUAAGUUUGUGAUUUUCUCUCACCGUCUAUACACAAAGAAAAUUAUUUUCAAUCAUAUUAUGGUUUCUUGAGCACUUUACUUAAAUUGUUUACGUACUAAUGAAAAACUUUUUUUCUAUUGAAAAUAUUCAACGUCAGGUUUGUGUUUCUUUGUCGAAAUUCCGUUAGCAUUACCUUUAGUUAUCUAUUUCUUUUUCUCAGAAAACAUACAAUUCAGAACAGGAAUGGCCUUAAAUACAAUUUUUAAAGAAGAAAUAUAAUAUUAAUAAUUAAUGCAACAUAAAGAAAACAAGGAUAUUUAAAUUGAUUUUUAAAGUUUUAACGAAAACGAAAAGAAAAUUCAAUUAAAAUACAUAAACAUGAAAUAAUACUUCGUAACAUUAAAUACCAAACGAUACACAAAAAAAUCACUCAACAACAAACAGAAACAUCAACAAGAAAAAAUACAAUAGCAGUUUACGAAUACGGAUCAACGCAACCAUGUUACAAUUUACUAUUAACAGAGAGACAGGCAAAACCCAAAUAAAACAAUGAACUAGACAAUGUUGUAUUCGAAAAAUUUAAUGUCCCAUUAUCCCAGACCUCAAUGCUUGAUUAAUAAAACGGCGUGAAACAUGCGAAUUAAAUAUGCUAAAACAUGUUGACAUCAAAAUCCAUUCCAACUUCAAACUAAUACUGCAGCAUGUGGUAUCCGUGAUAUAGAACAAAUCAACGCCGUAUUAUUGGAAAAUCCAAAAAUGGGUUGCUCGGAAUAAACAAUCUCAAACGGAGACAACAAACAAUGGAAACAUCUCGGAACGUGUAGACUACCUGAUUUUCACGACACGCAAAAACAGACUAGAGAGAAAAAAAACCAACAGAGCCCAAUAGAAUGGACGAUACGCGCACAUUCUCAAAACACAACAUUGUGUGAGUGGGUGUGGGUGUUUGUAUGAGCACUAUCCCGCCUGCAAUAUGGCAAACAGGAUUAACGAAAAAGGCAAGACGCUCGAAAUAAAUGAGUAACAGAAAACAAAAUGAUGAUACACUGUACUAACUAUCAAAUGCUAGAUAUAAUUAACAUUGUAUAGGGUCCAAAGGUGGGGAAAGUAAUGAAUUAAAUUACAAGUAAAUAAAGUAUGUAAUAACAA